rnacentral:rRNA from 1 species
AACGAACGCUGGCGGCAUGCCUAACACAUGCAAGUCGAACGAUUGCCUUCGGGUGAUAGUGGCGCACGGGUGCGUAACGCGUGGGAAUCUGCCCUUAGGUUCGGAAUAACAGCUGGAAACGGCUGCUAAUACCGGAUGAUAUCGCGAGAUCAAAGAUUUAUCGCCUGAGGAUGAGCCCGCGUUGGAUUAGGUAGUUGGUGGGGUAAAGGCCUACCAAGCCGACGAUCCAUAGCUGGUCUGAGAGGAUGAUCAGCCACACUGGGACUGAGACACGGCCCAGACUCCUACGGGAGGCAGCAGUGGGGAAUAUUGGACAAUGGGCGCAAGCCUGAUUCAGCAAUGCCGCGUGAGUGAUGAAGGCCCUAGGGUUGUAAAGCUCUUUUACCCGGGAAGAUAAUGACUGUACCGGGAGAAUAAGCCCCGGCUAACUCCGUG